rnacentral:rRNA from 1 species
GCCUUUUGUUUUUUAUAAUAGGUCUUACCUGCCCAAUGAUAUUAGUUUUAAUGGCCGCAGUAAUUUGACUGUGCAAAGGUAGCAUAAUAAUUUGUCUUUUAAUUGAGGACUGGAAUGAAUGGUUUGACGUGAAAAAUUCUGUCUCAAAGAUUUUUUUUGAAAUUUACUUUUAAGUUAAAAGGCUUAAAUUUGUUUGAGGGACGAAAAGACCCCAUCAAGUUUUAUAAUAAAUUAUUUUAAAAAUUUUCUUUUUUAUUUUGAUUUAUUAUUUGACUGGGGCGGUUAAAAUAGAUUAUCUUUUUUUGAUUUUAAAGGUUAAAUUGACUUUUAGGUUUGUUUUUGAUCCAGAGUUUUUGAUUAGAUGAUUAAAUUACUGUGGGGAUAACAGCGUUAUUUCUUUUUAGAGUUCAAAUUGAUAAAGAAGAUUGCGACCUCGAUGUUGGAUUAAGUUUUCCUUUUGGUGAAGAAGUUAAUAAGGUAGGUCUGUUCGACCUUUAAAAAUUUACA